rnacentral:snRNA from 1 species
GGGUGUGAGGGCACUCUGGCUAUGACAACUGUCACCUCAUUUACUGGCAGGGUUAAUUCAGUAGAUCUGUCUGGCUAGGCAGGUAUCUCCUUUCUCCCUCACCACUCCAUGUGCGUCCCUCCCGAAGCUGUGGGAUUGAUUGAAGAAAACAACCUUCCCUAACAGACAAGGACAAGGAUAUACCAGUAACUGCAUUCUCCUGCUAGAACCUCUAAAGAAGCUCUCAAGAGUAUAACUCUGAUAACAAAUUCCAAAUACAGCAUUU